rnacentral:rRNA from 1 species
UAGAGUUUGAUCCAUGGCUCAGGACGAACGCUGGCGGCGUGCUUAACACAUGCAAGUCGAGCGGAAAGGCCCUUCGGGGUACUCGAGCGGCGAACGGGUGAGUAACACGUGAGCAACCUGCCCUAGGCUUUGGGAUAACCCUCGGAAACGGGGGCUAAUACCGAAUAUGACCUCGCAUCGCAUGGUGUGUGGUGGAAAGUUUUUCGGCCUGGGAUGGGCUCGCGGCCUAUCAGCUUGUUGGUGGGGUGAUGGCCUACCAAGGCGACGACGGGUAGCCGGCCUGAGAGGGCGACCGGCCACACUGGGACUGAGACACGGCCCAGACUCCUACGGGAGGCAGCAGUGGGGAAUAUUGCACAAUGGGCGGAAGCCUGAUGCAGCGACGCCGCGUGAGGGAUGACGGCCUUCGGGUUGUAAACCUCUUUCAGCAGGGACGAAGCGUAAGA